UACCAUUAAUACAAGAAUACAAUAAAUUCACACGUUAGACAAAUUCACUUCAAACAAAAUGUAUAUAUCCUCUCCGGGGAAACAUCACCUUAUCGUGGUGGAGAGGUUUGCGUGUCCCUAUGAACCUGAGGGCUGUGUUGUCAGGAGUCUUGUGCUCCUGGCAGGGUAACCCAAGUCAUCUCAGGCGAGGGGCCAGACUAAGAAUGGUUCAAAAGACAAAGUUCUACCAGAGAGCUAUUGCAUGAAACCAGUAUAGGGAUUUAGCCGGGAUAUUCAAGUUAUCCUGGAUGAAUUUAGCUUUGACUUGGUUGCACGAAAGCAGGUUGAAUUAAACCCAGCCAAGCACCCAUGGAGAUUUAUUAUUUGCAGCUAGUCUGCUCCAGAGCGAGUCUCAUGUGUUAAAUCGGUGGGGGACGUCGACUACGAGGUGGUGCGGUCUGACUGGGGCGAAGAUACACAGAUUUACCACCUGAACCUCCUGAAAGCCUGAAGGGGGGUGGAGUCGGUCUCUCUGGUCUGCGGUAUCGGAAGGAGAGGAGCUGGGGCCGGAGGUUCCAAAAGCAGGUAAUCAUACCUCGCUCCCUCGUGAGGCUCAUCUCUCCGAGAGCCAGAGGGCGGACGUUGCCAGGUUGCAGGAGUGGUUUGCUAAUGUGUUCUCUCCCUUGCCAGGCCAGACCAACCUCAUAGUGCAUAGACGUCCCCGGGCGUGACGGUGAGGUCACGCCCUACAGGUUGCCCGAACACAAGAAAGAAGUGGUUCGGGGGGAAUUGGCGAGUAUAUUAUUAAUAGAGUCCAACUGUGCCUGGUGCAGCCCCAUCGUCCUUGUGGCUAAGAAGGAUGGAUCUGUACGGUUCUGCGUGGACUAUCGCAGGGUGAAUGACGUGUCACGGUUCAAUGCUUACCCAAUGCCCCGGGUCAACGAGCUCCUGGACCGGCUAGGCACUGCACGUUUCUUCACGACACUGGAUUUAACCAAGGGCUGCUGGCAGAUUCCUCUGUCGCCAGAGUCCAAGGAGAAAACGGCAUUCUCCACUCCGUACGGGUUGUACCAAUUUACCACGCUUCUCUCCGGGUUGUUUGGGGCCCCGGCCACGUUUCAGCGCCUCAUGGAUCGGGUGCUGCGUCCGAUCACGGCAUAUGCCCUCGCCUACCUGGACAACGUCAUUAUCAACAGCACCACCUGGGCGGAGCAUAUUCAGCAGGUGGACGCGGUGCUGGAGGCGCUGGGUUGGGCGGGGCUCACCGCCAACCCGGGGAAGUGUGCAGUUGGACGGGUGGAGGUACGGUAUUUGGGGUACCACUUGGGGGGCGGGCAGGUGCGCCCUCAGGUGGACAAGACGGCAGCUAUCGCGGCCUGCCUGCGACCCAGGACAAAAAAAGAGGUGAGGCGGUUCUUGGGGCUGGCGGGGUAUUACAGGCGGUUCAACCCCGGCUUUGCGGACCUCACCAGCCCCUUGACCGACCUGACCCGGAAAGGUGCGUCAGAUCCGGUCCAGUGGUCGGAGCAGUGCCAGCAGGCGUUGUUGAGAAGAUAAAGCAGGCUCUCUGUGGGGAACCACUCCUUCAUACCCCUAACUUCUCUCUGCCCUUUAUUCUGCAGACUGACCCGCCUGGCCAUCCGGUGGGCGAUCGACUCCCUGCGCUACUACCUCCUGGGACGCUCAUUCACCCUCUGUUCGGACCACGCUCCGCUCCAAUGGCUCCACCGCAUGAAAGAUGCCAACGCCCGGAUCACUCGGUGUUCGGUGUGCACAACAUGUGUGGAACGAGAGACUUCACCCCGCCCUGACCGUGCAGUAAUCCCACAUUAUAAAUCACUGUCACCCGGGGGCAAGACGGGUCGUCCGUCUUCCACGACACCCACCGGGAGGGAAGAGCUGCUUCAAACGCUUCACAUCUGCUGGUGUCAUGUAGGUGCUUGACCACCACCGUCAGCUGAUCACUGUGCUUCCACUUCCACUUCCUUUCUGGUCCUCAGCGUCUCUGCCAGCUCUCAUCCAUCUGUCUGGACUUUUAAGACUGUCCAUGUUUCUGCUUCGCUGUCUAGCUAUUCGCUAUCCAUGAUAUUUAUGGUUGUACUCAAGAAAUAAAUUCAAGCAUCUGGG
ensembl:lncRNA